UGCAAUUUGCACAAAAUAAGGAAAUAGCAUUGCUAAGAUACUGAACAUGAUACUCAGUCUCCCUUUUGCUUAGAUGUCUGUGAACCUACUGCAGAAAAUGACAAAAUCACUUUGAAGCACCCAUUUCUUCCUUCCCAUAAGACUUCAGGUGAAAUGCAGAACAUGCAAAUUGGUUGUUUGAUUUUUAAGCAAAACACACUAGGGAAAAAAUAAAAGAAUUUAUUUAAAAAUUCCUUCAGGACAAGGACACAGUCUCCUGGUGGGAUAAGGAGGAUGCUACAGAUGUAGCCUGCUCUUUGAGGCCUGGAUAUCUUCUGCAGAGACUGUCAGGCAGGUGGUGAGAAGCAGAAUGGAAGGAAAGUUGUCAGUGCUUUCUAAUCUGGCAGUUUUUACAGCCUAAUUUACUCAGCUGUGAUGUUUCAUUUGCCUAUAAGAAACCAUUCGGGCAAGUGCCCUAGCUGCUUUAUCUUCAGCCCCACCUCUUCUCUCUGAGGCAAAUAUCACAAUCAUCCUAAAUCACUCCUAAUUAUAUGUUUAGUGUUGGCUAUGUACAGCCAGUCUUCUACAGAGAUGGCACAGAAUUACUAACCAGAGCAAUCCGCUACUGUGCUGGAAAAGUUGGUGUUUUAAUUCCAUCUGAGAUAAGAACUUGGAACUCCUGCUAUCAUUGGCCACCCUAUUUACCUGGAACUGUUUUAAAAUGCACUUAACAGGGUUUGCUGCCCAUAAACAGUGACUUGUCAAAUCAGAAUGUCUUUCUUUCAUCUAGAUGAUGAAUCAAUUAGGCAUUUGAAUAGUUGAAGGUGUUCUUGCUGUUCGUAGUGGUAGAUAAGGAAUCUUCUGGUAGUGGCCUUUCUUUUGCUCUCUGUAAGUACAUUAAAGGAGGCUGUAGCGAGGUGGGGGUUGGUCUGUUCUCCCAUGUGCCUGGUGACAGGACGAGGGGGAAUGGGCUAAAGUUGUGCCAGGGUUGUUUUAGGUUAGAUGUUAGGAAGAACUUCUUUACCGAGAGGGUUGUGAGGCAUUGGAAUGUGCUGCCCAGGGAAGUGGUGGAGUCACCAUCCCUGGAGGUCUUUAAAAGAUAGUUAGAUGUUGAACUUAAUGAUAUGGUUUAGUAGAGGACUUGUUAGUGUUAGGUCAGAGGUUGGACUCGAUGAUCUUGAGGUCUCUUCCAACCUAAACAAUUCUGUGAUUCUGUGAUUCUCCUUAUGCCCAACACCUGUCCUGUGUCUCUGCAGUGUGAAGAGAGUUCGGGGGCUCAGUGUGUGUUGUGACAGGUCUCCCAAAGUUCCCAGUGCCUGCAGUGUUCAUUGAUUGCCACCGAUGCCUUCCCUGCCUCCCCUUGUUGUUCUCUGUGUGCAGUUUUGUAUUUGGAAAGUUCUUUCCUCUGUACUGUAAUGUGGGUUAGCCUUUGUGGGUAGAGGGAAGGAGCAUACAAACUACAAUGCAGGGCAAUAGCUGUAUACUCUAAGUUGGCCAGAUACACAGCAGACUCAGGCCUUGCCCAACUGCCUUAUGCGUCAUCUUCUCCUUACCACCUGCAGUGAGUACUGUUACUUCAUCACUGAUUUCUGCAUUACAAUUACAUGCUCCCUCACCAUAGCCGCACAGCAGUAGGGUUUCAACUGAGUGGUCAAGAGAUCUGGUGGCAUCUUGACAAUGGAAUUAAGGUGCCUCUGCUUGCCUGGCAGCAUGCUGGAGUAUGAUCUUUAA
rnacentral:lncRNA from 1 species